rnacentral:tRNA from 1 species
UAGCUCAGUUGGUAAAGAAUCUGCCUGCAAUGCAGGAGACCCAGGUUCGAUUCUUGG